GACGAACGCUGGCGGCGUGCUUAACACAUGCAAGUCGAACGAAGAGCGAUGGAAGCUUGCUUCUAUCAAUCUUAGUGGCGAACGGGUGAGUAACGCGUAAUCAACCUGCCCUUCAGAGGGGGACAACAGUUGGAAACGACUGCUAAUACCGCAUACGAUUUAAUCUCGGCAUCGAGGAUAGAUGAAAGGUGGUCUCUACAUGUAAGCUAUCACUGAAGGAGGGGAUUGCGUCUGAUUAGCUAGUUGGAGGGGUAACGGCCCACCAAGGCGAUGAUCAGUAGCCGGUCUGAGAGGAUGAACGGCCACAUUGGGACUGAGACACGGCCCAGACUCCUACGGGAGGCAGCAGUGGGGAAUCUUCCGCAAUAGACGAAAGUCUGACGGAGCAACGCCGCGGGAGUGAUGACGGCCUUCGGGUUGUAAAGCUCUGUUAAUCGGGACGAAAGGCCUUCUUGCGAAUAGUGAGAAGGAUUGACGGUACCGGAAUAGAAAGCCACGGCUAACUACGUG
rnacentral:rRNA from 1 species